rnacentral:rRNA from 1 species
UACGGAGGGGGCGAGCGUUGUCCGGAGUUACUGGGCGUAAAGGGCAUGCAGGCGGUCCGACACGUUUUGUGUGACAGCGGGUGGCUUAACUACCCGAGGAUACGAAAGACGGUUGGACUUGAGGACUCGAGAGGGACACGGAAUUCCGGGUGGAGUGGUGAAAUGCGUAGAGAUCCGGAGGAACACCGAAGGCGAAGGCAGUGUCCUGGCGAGUGACUGACGCUGAGGUGCGAAAGCCAGGGGAGCGAACGGG